CCUACGGGAGGCUGCAGUGGGGAAUAUUGGACAAUGGGCGAAAGCCUGAUCCAGCCAUGCCGCGUGUGUGAAGAAGGCCUUCGGGUUGUAAAGCACUUUCAGUGGGGAAGAAAGCCUUGGGGCUAAUACCCUCGAGGAAGGACAUCACCCACAGAAGAAGCACCGGCUAACUCCGUGCCAGCAGCCGCGGUAAUACGGAGGGUGCGAGCGUUAAUCGGAAUUACUGGGCGUAAAGCGCGCGUAGGCGGUCUGAUAAGCCGGUUGUGAAAGCCCCGGGCUCAACCUGGGAACGGCAUCCGGAACUGUCAGGCUAGAGUGCAGGAGAGGAAGGUAGAAUUCCCGGUGUAGCGGUGAAAUGCGUAGAGAUCGGGAGGAAUACCAGUGGCGAAGGCGGCCUUCUGGACUGACACUGACGCUGAGGUGCGAAAGCGUGGGUAGCAAACAGGAUUUGAUACCCUAGUAGUC
rnacentral:rRNA from 1 species